GGGACACGUGGUAUCCUGUCUGAAUAUGGGGGGACCAUCCUCCAAGGCUAAAUACUCCUGACUGACCGAUAGUGAACCAGUACCGUGAGGGAAAGGCGAAAAGAACCCCGGCGAGGGGAGUGAAAAAGAACCUGAAACCGUGUACGUACAAGCAGUGGGAGCACGCUUAGGCGUGUGACUGCGUACCUUUUGUAUAAUGGGUCAGCGACUUAUAUUCUGUAGCAAGGUUAACCGAAUAGGGGAGCCGAAGGGAAACCGAGUCUUAACUGGGCGUUAAGUUGCAGGGUAUAGACCCGAAACCCGGUGAUCUAGCCAUGGGCAGGUUGAAGGUUGGGUAACACUAACUGGAGGACCGAACCGACUAAUGUUGAAAAAUUAGCGGAUGACUUGUGGCUGGGGGUGAAAGGCCAAUCAAACCGGGAGAUAGCUGGUUCUCCCCGAAAGCUAUUUAGGUAGCGCCUCGUGAAUUCAUCUCCGGGGGUAGAGCACUGUUUCGGCAAGGGGGUCAUCCCGACUUACCAACCCGAUGCAAACUGCGAAUACCGGAGAAUGUUAUCACGGGAGACACACGGCGGGUGCUAACGUCCGUCGUGAAGAGGGAAACAACCCAGACCGCCAGCUAAGGUCCCAAAGUCAUGGUUAAGUGGGAAACGAUGUGGGAAGGCCCAGACAGCCAGGAUGUUGGCUUAGAAGCAGCCAUCAUUUAAAGAAAGCGUAAUAGCUCACUGGUCGAGUCGGCCUGCGCGGAAGAUGUAACGGGGCUAAACCAUGCACCGAAGCUGCGGCAGCGACGCUUAUGCGUUGUUGGGUAGGGGAGCGUUCUGUAAGCCUGUGAAGGUGUGCUGUGAGGCAUGCUGGAGGUAUCAGAAGUGCGAAUGCUGACAUAAGUAACGAUAAAGCGGGUGAAAAGCCCGCUCGCCGGAAGACCAAGGGUUCCUGUCCAACGUUAAUCGGGGCAGGGUGAGUCGACCCCUAAGGCGAGGCCGAAAGGCGUAGUCGAUGGGAAACAGGUUAAUAUUCCUGUACUUGGUGUUACUGCGAAGGGGGGACGGAGAAGGCUAUGUUGGCCGGGCGACGGUUGUCCCGGUUUAAGCGUGUAGGCUGGUUUUCCAGGCAAAUCCGGAAAAUCAAGGCUGAGGCGUGAUGACGAGGCACUACGGUGCUGAAGCAACAAAUGCCCUGCUUCCAGGAAAAGCCUCUAAGCAUCAGGUAACAUCAAAUCGUACCCCAAACCGACACAGGUGGUCAGGUAGAGAAUACCAAGGCGCUUGAGAGAACUCGGGUGAAGGAACUAGGCAAAAUGGUGCCGUAACUUCGGGAGAAGGCACGCUGAUAUGUAGGUGAAGCGACUUGCUCGUGGAGCUGAAAUCAGUCGAAGAUACCAGCUGGCUGCAACUGUUUAUUAAAAACACAGCACUGUGCAAACACGAAAGUGGACGUAUACGGUGUGACGCCUGCCCGGUGCCGGAAGGUUAAUUGAUGGGGUCAGCGCAAGCGAAGCUCUUGAUCGAAGCCCCGGUAAACGGCGGCCGUAACUAUAACGGUCCUAAGGUAGCGAAAUUCCUUGUCGGGUAAGUUCCGACCUGCACGAAUGGCGUAAUGAUGGCCAGGCUGUCUCCACCCGAGACUCAGUGAAAUUGAACUCGCUGUGAAGAUGCAGUGUACCCGCGGCAAGACGGAAAGACCCCGUGAACCUUUACUAUAGCUUGACACUGAACAUUGAGCCUUGAUGUGUAGGAUAGGUGGGAGGC
rnacentral:rRNA from 1 species